AUCUGUGAUGUUAAUAUACACACGCAUUUAAGCAAAUUAGUAGAUGUUUGAUCAUUUUUUUUCAUUAGAAAUAAAGAGAUAAGUAUUAAGUCUCUUCUUCUGCCUCACUCUGACAGAAUGUUUUUCACAGUCUUUUAAGAUAAUUUGGAUUGCAUAAUAUCAAAUUUUUGAUUCCUUAUAUCUUAACAGACAAAUAUUUGCAAAGUAGCUGCUGAAAGGUAUAUAGCUCACGAAAAUAUUGACAAGUCUGUCGUUAAAUUAAUUAACACUAUCUUCCAAGUAAUAACAUUCUUGUUUUUUAAUAUCAUAUAUAUAUUUAAAAAUCUGAAUCCCUUUGUUCUAAUGCUGAUCAUAGCUUAAUAAAUUUUGAGCAAAAUACUUCUUUAAAAAUCUUCCAAAGACUUCUUUUGUUUCCCUACAUGAGAUUAUGCCUCAUUUGAAAACAUGUAAUAACUACCUCUUUUUACUUUCUGGAAAGUCUUGAUUUCAGAUUAAGAAAAGAUGAAGACUUGUACAUGUAUGAUUUAAGUUUUAUUUUAAUGUUUUCAUUGUACAUUUUAGUGUUCACCAUCCUUUUUCUGCAGUAGAAAUUAAGUAUGCCUAAAAAAGUAAAAGGGAUAUGAUCUUAAUUUUUUUCUUAAAAUUCUUUUUCUUCUGCAUGUUCUUGAUGGUGGAAGCUAUCCUGAAACAUCUAGGGUUGGCAUCUUCUUAUUUCUAAUAAAUGCCUAGGGUUCUUUACAAAACACCUCUUUCCAGGUGUAAUUCCAAAUCAUGUUUGUGUUUAGGAGUUUCAUUUUUGCUUUUCUAUCUUAAUGCAGUCAUCACAAUUUCUGUCUCAAGUAGAGAGAUAAAUAACUUCCCUGAAGGAAUUGCAGUUAUAACUCUUUUUAACUCCUCCUUGCACUACUAGAAAUCACUACGCUGAAGUCAAUGGAAUAAAUGAGAAUAGAAUAAGACUCAGUGUGUAUAACUAUCCCUAUUUUCUCCUACAUGCUGAUUAGCAUGAAUUUUCUAUCUUACACAGUGUCUACUUAUAAGAAUUUGAAGGGUAGAUUAUUUGUUUGGACAUAGAAAUACUUUUAUUUUGCUCUUCCAGCUGCUACUGAAGACUAGUAAUAUAUCUCAG
ensembl:lncRNA